rnacentral:lncRNA from 1 species
UGGGAUGUUCUACAACUCUUGCCUUAGAGGCAAGACUUAGUUCAAUGACUUUCAAAUAAUAAAUUAUGCCCCACGGACAAGAGUUGACACUACCAGUUAUGUCUUCAUUUAUGGGAUUCUACAACUCUUGCCUUAAAGGCAACACUUUGCUCAAGGACAUCAACUAAUAAAUUAUGCCCCAUGGGAAAGAGCUGAUACUACCACAUUAUGUUUUUAUUUGUGAGAUAUUCUACAACUCUCGCCUUAGAGACACGACUUAUCUCAAGAAUUUUCAAAGAACUUAGUAACAACAAUUCAU